UUGUGUUUCAUAUCAUAUUCCAUAGUUUUGGGUUUUUGGGUUUGUUUUUUGUUUUGUUUUGUUUUUGAGUAUUAAAACGACCGAGUAUUGAUAUCAAUGGUAACGAAAUAAGUUGACACCGCGUCUCGUCAAAACAUGUUCAAUUCGAAUCUACUCGGAAUUACACGUUCAACGAGCAUUUGCUGUGAAACCUGAUUAAAGGAAAAUUACUGUAGACACCUAAUAGUGAUUUGUACAGAAGCGAGCCCCGGCAGGAAUGAUGGCCUCUUUUGAAAUGAAGAUUUCAUGCCUUACUCCUACUGGGACUACAACUAACUUUGGACCUGGUCACUCGCAGAUACAGCAUGAAGUGUGCCCUCUUGAUGUACAUGGGAAUGGGAGUGAUACAGAAGGGGGACUAAUUGGAAGAACUGCUGCUGCUGGUGGUGGUGCUGGACUGUCUUGAAUCUGUGGCCUAACUGACUUUAUAUUAUUCUGUUUAAUGUGGGAGCAACACACACACUCUGGCAUCUAUUGCACAGAAAAUCAUGAUCAGAUGGUGCCCUCCCUAUCAGAGUGGUGAUCACUGUCCUAUAUUUCUUUGAAAUCCUGGAUCUGUGUUUUGGUUUUACUCUCCAUGGACAAUUGAAACAGAGAAAGAAUUUGGGACCACUCCUUGGCAUAUCUGAAAUAUUUAUGUCAUAUACAUGUACAUGUAAUUGAAAUUAUACAAUUUGGGUUGGAUGAAAAUCUUAUCUUCAUGUUAAAACCCAUUAGCCUAGGUUAUUUUUCCUAAAAUCUAAUUAUAAAUCAAUUAACUUGUUAAUUAAUGCUUGGUGAAUCAAUUAAUAAAUUGUAUUCAAAAACUUGGAAUUAUUUUUUUUCCACUAAUAAACUGAAAAUGUGUAUCUUCAAAUGUUUUGUUGAUUAAUGUCAGUGUGAAAUAUAGAGGGGGUAUGGGGUUUACAACAAUGUAUAUUACAUGGUUAAUUUAUUUCUAUUAUGUAGUCCAUGUAAAUUUCUGUGGAAACAAGGAAGUUAUUUAUAUUCGGUCUUUCCUAUCCCGGAGUAGGAAAGACCGAAUAUAAAUAACCCCCUUGUUUCCACGGAAAUUAAGUUCAUGAGAGACUGAAAUCUCCCAACCUGGAUCUGUUUAAUGGACCCUUCCAAAGUUCUUUUUUAAGGAAAAAGUAAACCAUUUUCCUAAUCCAAAAAGAAAACUGGUGCAAAAACCAUGCACAUCUCCAUACAUGAAAUAAUAUAAAUAAUAGAAAAAUUAUCAGUAGUAUUGUAAUACAUUUUUGGGGGUUGGGGGGUUUGCUGUUUCACCUUUAUAGAUUGGUUUUUUUCCUAACAUUUAAAACAUAUCUUUUCAAUAUCAAUUUUGUCUAUAGCACAAAAUAAAAAUUCUAAAAUCAAUUAAAGCAUUUGAUAUACGUGUGUAUAUAUAAAACAAAACGAAAAAAACAAACAAAAAACUAGGAUCCACCACUAGUAAACUAUGUUUUCCAUUUAGAGUUAUUGCCCUUCAAUCGAAAAAAAGUAAAUAUAAUUAAGUAAAUACUCUACAUUUCAACACAAGUUAUGUCAAAUAUUAUUUAACAAGAUAUACUUUGAUAUGUAUUUAAAUUGACCUACUUCAUUAAAAACAAACUCUCUGUGUGUUUUUGUAGGUUUCUUUCCACGUAUAUACAAGGGACUUAUGAAUUUACGAACUUAAAUAGUUGAAAUUGAAAACAAAACAAUAUUUAUAUCUACUCUGUUCGAUGUAUGAAUAUCGUGCGUUCAAAUUCUCAAUUACAAAUGUAAAAUAGAUAAAGCUAACAGCCGUGUUUGACAUUGCCGUAAUAUGCAGACAUUUGUUAGUGUAACACGUUGCUACAACUUUACAGUUACGAUUGACAGACUUCAUAUUUUAUAAGAAACUUUGAACUGUAGCCUAUAAUAAUUAAACGUACGGAAUUUGUAAAAAUUGAGAGAACCAAUGGACAAAUUCAUACGAUAGAACAUACUGUCUGAAUAUAUAUCGCACAUCUCCAUGCGUAAUACAUGUGUACAUGCUGGGCCUGUGUUCUAUCGUUAAAAUGAUGAUGUCCUACGGACCGAUUGUGGUGAGGGCCUGUUCCGAGACACAGAUUAUUCUAACUAGGGUAUUCCGUAUGGCCGUAUAAGUUUGUACUGUACGUUUGAUUCGAACAUUCAUUCUGUUUCGAACAAUAAAAUUUUUAAAGUAACAAAAGGUAGGGAAAUCGGUACUUUUAAAGCCAUCGGAACGGACUUCGGAAUCAAACAUACAUGUACACGAUAGGUGUAACCCCCCCCCCCCCCGUACCUUUUUACCAUAGGCCACGACUCUCAUAUAUUUACUCGUUUAGAUAUUGAUUUUUUAUUUUAAAAAAUAUAUAACAACAUAAAAACUCACCUCUUUGAUGUUUCUUUUUGAGUCGUAUCAACUGCGUUAGAUGUAUGUAUUGACUUCCUUGGAAUCUGACGUUUCCAGACGACACUUUUGUUAUUAUUAUUUUUUUUUUUCGACAUGGCCGCAUUGAUUACGAGUUAAUUUUUUUAAUGGAAAGUGUUAAUCUAACUUUGCAUUUUAAUUUUAGUUUACAAAAUUGAGUCGUGAGUAAUGCGGCCCAUGU